GCUACAAUUAAAAUAGAGGUUCAAAUUUUAGCGCUCAAUCUUAACGCUAAACGGUCACUCGGUUUUAUGGAAAACCAAUGGGUUAGAAUAUUUAUAUUACAAAUAAAAAAUACAAUUAAAAAAGAGGUUAGAACACUGAUGUGGCACGUAUGCAUUGGAAUCUUAUCACUUAUCUUGAAUAGAAAUGAUCAGUUAUAUUCAACGUUCUCUGAGCUAUUUAAAUAUCUCUUUUGGAUUAUCAAGGAGAACUUUGAGCUAUUUAAACAUCUAAUUACCAACUCUUUGUUUCAAAGUAUUUUCCUAUUUUAA